rnacentral:RNase_P_RNA from 1 species
GAAGUUCGCCAGGCAGUCGCUGCACUCCAUCAGGGGUGUGGAGGAAAGUCCGGGCCCCGCAGAGCAGGAUGCCGGCUAACGGCCGGGCGCCGUGAGGCGACGGAAAGUGCAACAGAGAGCAGACCGCCGAUGGCUGUCCGGGCUUCGCCGCCGCAGGCGGCAAAAUCCCCUUCCUAGAAGGGGGUGAUGCCGCAGGCGGCAAAGUCCCCUUCCUGAAGAGGAGGGCUUCGCACUUCGGUGCGCAGGGAGGCUGCCGUGCAAACGGCAGUGGCUGGUGCGGCGCAUGCCGCGCCAGACGGAUCAGGCAAGGGUGAAACGGUGCGCUGGUGUGCGCAGGCACGCCAGUGGUCGGGGCGCAAGCCCCGUCGGGUAAGAGCCCACCGCGGGACUGGUAACAGGACCGGCACGGCAAACCCCAUCCGGGGCAAGGCCAAAUAGGGGAGCAAUGGCGUGGCUCGCGCUGCUCCCGGGUAGGCUGCUAGAGCGCAGUGGCAACGCUGCGCCCAGAGGAAUGACUGCCCGGCGUGAAGGGUUUCGGCCUUGCGCGCUCGACAGAACCCGGCUUAUCGGCGAACUUCCCCA